rnacentral:lncRNA from 1 species
CUGGUAUGUUAAACCGAGUGCAGCCCUCAUGUUUGUUGUCAUGCGUUUGCACAUGCCUGGUGCCUCUCCCAUUUCGGAAGUGGGGCAGAGAACCCAGGGGAACAGUCUGAGGUAGGCUCUGGAUUUGGGGCAAAGGCUGCCAUUGUCAUCUAAUGACAGUGUUCCACAGUUAGAGCUGCAGUUGCUGGAAAGCAGCUUCUCCCUUGUAAUUAAUCGUUUGGCUGCUGAGCCUAGGGUAGCUUUGAAAGACACCCAGGUGACAGUGGGGUGCCUGUGGUCCCAGACUGUGGAAUUACACGGAGUCAAGAGCUAAAUAGCCUCUCCCAUCUACUCAUUUUCUCUUAAAUUACAUGUGAUUAGGAAUAUAAUUACCACUCCUUACUCUUCCCCCUUAAAACACUAUUUUCCUUUCUUCGCACAGCGCUUUGAUAGGGGAAAAACAAACUAAGGUUGUGCUCAGCGGUGGGAAAGGCUGAGGAUGGGAGCGGGAAGCCAGGCGGUGACAGAGGGGAUGGAGCCCACCCUCUGAGGCACUGGCGAGCGUGGAAGUUCAAAAACAAAAAAAUCCAAGGGCAAGAGUGGUAAUUAGAAAAUGUAUGCAAAACGCUUUGAUUAUUGAAAUCGUACCUGCCUAGGGGUCCUGGGAGAGCCUGAAAUGAUAUGUGUGCUCACGUUAGAAUUAUAAAGCUCAGCUGUUGAUCUUCUUAUUUUGGGAAUGUCUAUCCCUCUAAUUAUUUACAGUCCAAAUGAUUAAAAAAAAAAAAAAAAAAAAAAAGAGCAGGGAGCAACAGACGAGCCCAAAUUGCUGUGUUUAAAGGAGCAGGGCUGUCUGUUUGCGUGGGGCUGUCUCCCUGUAAUGAGAACCACCGCUGGGAGCUGUUUAGACAAAACCGACUCAGCGCUCCGGAGCCGCGCGGGCCUCCAAAUGCAAAGGGGGACCCCAUGAAUGUGAAGAUAUUUGGAAAGUCUUCACUACAGAACGUGAUUUCAGGAAUGAUGGAACAAUAAAUGAGAAUCUGGUAUU